AGACCAAUACAUUUUUUAAUUGGAGGUAGGAUGUAUAAGUGUUUAUUUCCUUUAAAGAGCACUGGAGAGGCUCAUAACAGCUAUAAUUUUGACAUGGUGAUAUAACCCUGCACUCAGAAAGGCUGAGAUAUUUUAAGCACAAAGUAAGUAAGGCUAAUACUGUCCCUCAAUGUGAAUAAAGUGAAGAAAAGUUGGUGAAUCUGUCAACACAAAAGCUGUGUUUUAAGAUGUAAAUUCUGAAAGUUUAAGGGAAGCCUUAUUUUUAGCCUUCCAUGCCUUCAUUUCGCUUACUAUUCAAUUUCACAAUUACAAAGAUCAAUCCUUCCAAGUAGUUGAUUGAUUGCCAUCAUUGAUCUUGUACACCGAAGGUAGGAAAAAACACACAUAAGUCUUGCCCGGCAUUUCAGCAGAUUUCCUUCAUUAAGUGUUUAUAUUGGCAGACCUGAAAUGUAUGUUCUGGUUUGGAAAUGGUUCCCCGAUGGGCACAGAUUGCUGGCCAUCCCCUUACUCUCUCUUAUAAAUUUCUUAAUCAGAACAGUAGUAAAGCAGAAUUGAAGAAAAGAAGAUGUAACUUUCUAAAUGCUAGGGGUAGAAAAAAAUAAAACUUCAUUAAUACUGACGUAAACUUACUCUAAACUUCUAAAAGCCUCACAGGAGUAACAGCAAAUAUUUUUAUCCUGAAUUUCUUUUUUUUCUUUUCUUUAAAGCUUCAAUAUUCUGUUUUCCAUGAACCUACUUACAUGGGUAUAUUGCUGGUCUUAACAUGAAUUGAGACCCUUAGGCUAUGGGGUCACACAGGGUCAGACACAGCUGAAGCAACUUAGCAGCAGCAGCAGGCUAAGGAUGCAAGAUCAUGCAGCCAUG
rnacentral:lncRNA from 1 species